ACAUAUGCUAUAUGAAAGCCACCGAUUUGACUUAGGCACUGAUGAGGACUAUACACAAAUUAAAUGCUGUGAUGCAGACUACUGAAAUUUUGAAAGUGCAUUCAGGUACAGAAAACAGUUUUAGGACAAACGAAUUGUAUUGAUUCCGCUGAGCUAAGAAAGGGUGAGCCAAUGCAUGACGCAUCCCACCUUGUGGACUCUAGGAAGUGU
rnacentral:misc_RNA from 1 species